GAUGAACGCUGGCGGCGUGCCUAAUACAUGCAAGUCGAGCGAACAGACGAGGAGCUUGCUCCUCUGACGUUAGCGGCGGACGGGUGAGUAACACGUGGAUAACCUACCUAUAAGACUGGGAUAACUUCGGGAAACCGGAGCUAAUACCGGAUAAUAUAUUGAACCGCAUGGUUCAAUAGUGAAAGACGGUUUUGCUGUCACUUAUAGAUGGAUCCGCGCCGCAUUAGCUAGUUGGUAAGGUAACGGCUUACCAAGGCAACGAUGCGUAGCCGACCUGAGAGAGUGAUCGGCGACACUGGAACUGAGACACGGUCCAGACUCCUACGGGAGGCAGCAGUAGGGAAUCUUCCGCAAUGGGCGAAAGCCUGACGGAGCAACGCCGCGUGAGUGAUGAAGGUCUUCGGAGCGUAAAACUCUGUUAUUAGGGAAGAACAAAUGUGUAAGUAACUAUGCACGUCUUGACGGUACCUAAUCAGAAAGCCACGGCUAACUACGUG
rnacentral:rRNA from 1 species